AUAACAUUAGUCAGAAACGCAAAACUCUAUUCCUUCCUGCCUGCAGCCUGCUGGUGUGAUAUUUGCUUUAGAACAGCGUUGGCAAAAAAAAAGAAGAAAGAAAAAUCAUCCAGGAGAGUGAGAUAAAGGCAUUGGUAGAUGCAAAAGGAAAAUAACCAGAAGACUCUAAACCUUUGAUUGUGCACCACUGUGGAACCUUCCAUUCCUUUGGCCACUCAGCCUCCAGAAGUGAGCUCAGAGUCAGACAGUUAAUGGGGCGAUCCACCCUCCACAGAAAG